GGAUCGAUAGCUCAGCGGUAGAGGUUAGUGACUCCCUCAUGUCUCACAUUCUCAUGCACACAUGCUCACACAACAAACAGCGAGAGAUUGCAGAUCUCUAGGCCGCGUGUUCGAUCCACGCUCGGUCCU